AUGGUGACAGCCGAAAGCCUACGUGCAGAGCUGUCAUCCAAGACGCCACCGUUUGGCCUGAGGCUGUGGAUAGUGAUUGGCAUCAGCAUCUGGGUGGUAAUCUUCUGUAUACUGGGUUUCAUGUGCUUCUGGUCCAUUUACCGGAGGAAGCCGAAGAAGUCUGUUGAUAAGAUCCCAGUAUCUCAAAUCCCGGAUGUAUCAAAGGAGAUUGCAGUAGAUGAAGUGCGCCAGCAUGCUGUUGUUGAGAACUAUCAAGCUCAAGAAAGCCACACCUUGACGGUGCAGGAGAAACCUCAUGACAAAGAUUCUGGGAAAAUGCUGGGACACUUGGUCAGGACAAAGUCGAGCGAUGCCGAUAAUUUGAGCCAGUGCAGCUCGGCCUACCAAUGCGAUAGGGCUGGUAGUGCUUAUUCUGGCGAUGAAGGCAGCUCGGGCAACGCUAGGAGGCAAUAUUCUCAGUAUGCGACCGUCUCCGCAUCUCCUCUUGUUGGACUCCCCGAAUUUUCGCACUUGGGUUGGGGCCAUUGGUUCACUCUGAGGGAUUUGGAGCAUUCGACGAAUCGCUUCUCUAAGGAGAACAUCAUUGGAGAGGGUGGAUAUGGGGUGGUUUACCGUGGUCGACUCAUAAAUGGGACUGAUGUAGCAAUAAAAAAGCUACUGAAUAACAUGGGCCAGGCAGAAAAGGAGUUCAGGGUUGAAGUUGAGGCUAUUGGCCAUGUCAGGCAUAAAAAUCUCGUCCGUCUGCUAGGAUAUUGUGUUGAAGGAAUCCACAGGAUGCUUGUGUAUGAGUAUGUGAAUAACGGAAACUUAGAGCAGUGGAUUCAUGGCGCCAUGCGGCAGCACGGUGUUCUUACCUGGGAAGCUCGAAUGAAAAUCAUUCUUGGAAUUGCUAAAGCGCUUGCUUACCUACAUGAAGCCAUAGAGCCAAAAGUUGUGCACCGUGAUAUCAAAUCAAGCAAUAUCCUAAUUGAUGAGGAUUUCAAUGGGAAGCUUUCCGAUUUUGGAUUGGCUAAGAUGCUGGGUGCAGGGAAGAGCCAUAUCACGACUCGAGUUAUGGGAACUUUCGGGUAUGUGGCCCCCGAGUAUGCCAACACAGGUCUGUUAAACGAGAAGAGUGAUGUGUACAGUUUUGGCGUGCUGCUCCUGGAAGCAGUGACUGGGAGGGAUCCUGUUGACUAUGGUCGGCCAGCUAAUGAGGUGCAUCUGGUGGAGUGGCUCAAAAUGAUGGUCGGCACAAAGAGAGCCGACGAGGUGGUGGACCGUGACAUGGAGGUGAAGCCAACCAUCCGUGCUCUCAAGCGCGCCCUCCUAGUGGCGCUGCGGUGUGUCGACCCGGACUCCGAGAAGAGACCCACGAUGGGUCACGUCGUCCGGAUGCUCGAGGCAGAGGACGUCCCGUCGCGGGAGGACCGGAGGAGCCGGAGGGGCGGCCAUGCCGGUGGUGGCAACGCGGACGCCGAGUCCAAGGCGAGCUCGAGCGAGUUCGAGGUGAGCGGCGACUCGGGGCCCUCGGCGAGGUUCCAGCCAUGA
rnacentral:rRNA from 1 species